UUUUCAAUAUGAGUUAUGUGGUCUAGGAUUACCCAUUACUGUUCAUUUAAAGAAUCUUCAAAAUCAAGAAUUCACGUAUUAAUUAAAGUUGUGGGUGGGUUUGAUUUAGAAAAUCAAGAAACACGAUGUGCCAGAUGAUUUCCCAGUUUGGACUUUAAUACACACAAGGUGUUUGUCAAAAUGCCUAAAAGAGAAUUUUAAUACACACAAGGUGUUUGUCAAAAUGCUGAAUGAGAAUUUUAUUGCAUACAAGGUGUUUGUUAAAAUAUCUGAAAGAGAAUUUUAAUGCAUACAAGGCGUUUGUUAAAAUAUCUGAGAGAGUUCUGAACUUAACAUGGGGUUGUAGUUAUUAGAGCCAUGAUUAUUGAGGUGUUAUGAUUUAUAAUGAGGGUCCAUUGCUUAUUUUGGGUUGAAUUAUGUGUCCAAGUUGGUUGAAUGCCUUUUGAUUUAAUGAUUCCAUGUGCCUUUGGCUGUUCAUUUUGCUGCAAAUGCUGCUUUUGAAGAUUGGUUUGCAGUGAACUUUUCCUCUUUCGAAAAGCUUUUGGCUUCAAUUAUAUGUCAUUGAUUGCAUUGAUGGUUUGCAUUGAUGACCUGACUUACGCCUGCACAACGUUUUUACUCUGAUAUGGCAAAAUUAUAGGUUACAUUGUGGAUUUUGUUGGUAAUUUUGUAAAAUCAUGUCAUUAGGCCACACGGGGCGGUCCCGUGAUGGCAAUGUAUA
rnacentral:lncRNA from 1 species